CAGUAGCCGCGGGAAUACAGAGGGUGCGAGCGUUAAUCGGAUUUACUGGGCGUAAAGCGUGCGUAGGCGGCUUCUUAAGUCGGAUGUGAAAUCCCUGAGCUUAACUUAGGAAUUGCAUUCGAUACUGGGAAGCUAGAGUAUGGGAGAGGAUGGUAGAAUUCCAGGUGUAGCGGUGAAAUGCGUAGAGAUCUGGAGGAAUACCGAUGGCGAAGGCAGCCAUCUGGCCUAAUACUGACGCUGAGGUACAAAAGCAUGGGGAGCAAACAGGAUUAGAUACCCCCGUAGUCCCUGUCUCUUAUAC
rnacentral:rRNA from 1 species